rnacentral:rRNA from 1 species
CUACGGGUGGCUCCAGUGGGGAAUAUUGGACAAUGGGGGAAACCCUGAUCCAGCAAUGCCGCGUGUGUGAAGAAGGCCUGCGGGUUGUAAAGCACUUUCGGUUGGGAGGACUGCUUCUAGCACUAAUGUUGUUGGAAGUUGACGUUACCUUCAGAAGAAGCACCGGCUAACUCCGUGCCAGCAGCCGCGGUAAUGCGGAGGGUGCAAGCGUUAAUCGGAAUUACUGGGCGUAAAGCGCGCGUAGGCGGCUAGAUCAGUCGGGUGUGAAAGCCCCGGGCUUAACCUGGGAACUGCAUCCGAUACUUUCUAGCUUGAGUACAGGAGAGGAGAGUGGAAUUCCACAUGUAACGGUGAAAUGCGUAGAUAUGUGGAGGAACACCAAUGGUGAAGGCAGCUCUCUGGCCUGAUACUGACGCUGAGGUGCGAAAGCGUGGGGAGCAAACAGGAUUAGAUACCCCCGUAGUC